AGGACCGCGUCGAGCCCGACCAGAUGAUGGCCCGGGAUGAGCCAGGCAAGAACCAGGAGGACGCGAGGUUAGGUGCCCUGGUGUUGGCGGGAGUUGUUGAAUGGACUUCGGUGCGUCCCGCAACCCCCUGGCGGAGAGGAUACAAAGGACCUGACUAACAAACUGCUGACCUUAACAAGCCUGUGGACACAAAGUAGAUGGACCUUUUUGGAGAAAUGAAAGCGAAUGCCUACAAAUUUAAAAACCUGCUGUUGCUAUUCCACCCAUACACCACUUAGGAAAGCCUGUGUUACUAUACAUUGGGAGUUCUGCAAAUCCAAAGGGGCCUGAGGAUGGAAAUCAGGAGAUCUGAGAACAUGGAUGGAGAAAAGAAAUUUCUAUCCUCACUAACCUCUAAAGUCUAGCAUUUGUUUCAUAGGCCACAAACCACCAUAGUAUCAGUACCUGUGACUCUGUCAUCACGAGCAGAUAUUUGCAUGUUCCAGAUACCCGAAAAUAUUGUUUAGGUGCAGCACCGCUUGGGAAUUACGGUAUUAUUAUCCCCAUUCUGAGAUCCUGUAAUAUGAUAAAGAAGCACAUUUA